rnacentral:rRNA from 1 species
CAGUAGCCACGGUAAUACGGAGGGAGCUAGCGUUGUUCGGAAUUACUGGGCGUAAAGCGCACGUAGGCGGUUAUUCAAGUCAGAGGUGAAAGCCCGGGGCUCAACCCCGGAACUGCCUUCGAAACUAGAUGACUGGAAUCUUGGAGAGGUCAGUGGAAUUCCGAGUGUAGAGGUGAAAUUCGUAGAUAUUCGGAAGAACACCAGUGGCGAAGGCGACUGACUGGACAAGUAUUGACGCUGAGGUGCGAAAGCGUGGGGAGCAAACAGGAUUAGAUACCCCCGUAGUCCCUGUCUCUUAUAC